rfam:Triticum aestivum genome assembly, contig: Triticum_aestivum_CS42_TGACv1_scaffold_486276_6AS
AAUAUACUCCUUCCGUCCGAAAAUACUUGUUCGAUGAAUGGAUGUAUCUAGAUGUAUUUUAGUUCUAAGUACAUCUAUUUGUAUCCAUUUCUACGAUAAGUAUUUCCGGACGGAGGGAGUAGUAC